rnacentral:rRNA from 1 species
UACGUAGGGUGCGAGCGUUAAUCGGAAUUACUGGGCGUAAAGCGUGCGCAGGCGGUUGUGCAAGACAGAUGUGAAAUCCCCGGGCUCAACCUGGGAAUUGCAUUUGUGACUGCACGGCUAGAGUGUGUCAGAGGGGGGUAGAAUUCCACGUGUAGCAGUGAAAUGCGUAGAGAUGUGGAGGAAUACCGAUGGCGAAGGCAGCCCCCUGGGAUAACACUGACGCUCAUGCACGAAAGCGUGGGGGAGCAAACAGG